rnacentral:misc_RNA from 1 species
GUGAAUCAUCGAAUCUUUGAACGCAAAUUGCACUCUCUUCGGAGAGUAUGCCUGUUUGAGGGUCAGCCUCAAAAAAAUCGACAUAGUUGCUGUUUCGCGGUGACAUUCGUCGUAUUUUGGGUCAUUUUAAACCUUUUGGUUUAAGCGGCUUACAAUUUUCUUUACGAUUCCACCAACGUUUCUUAGAUUUUACUUCUUACACCCGUUUAAUGUAUCGAUCUUUAUUAUCCGUUGCCGUUGCUUCGGAUCUCGUCCUUCACUAUUUCGUUAA